rnacentral:rRNA from 1 species
CUACCAUGCAGUCGAACGGUGAAGCAGAGCUUGCUCUGUGGAUCAGUGGCGAACGGGUGAGUAACACGUGAGCAAUCUGCCCCUGACUCUGGGAUAACAGUUGGAAACAGCUGCUAAUACCGGAUACGAGCUGCGGCCGCAUGGUCGGCAGCUGGAAAGAAUUUCGGUCAGGGAUGAGCUCGCGGCCUAUCAGCUUGUUGGUGAGGUAAUGGCUCACCAAGGCGUCGACGGGUAGCCGGCCUGAGAGGGUGACCGGCCACACUGGGACUGAGACACGGCCCAGACUCCUACGGGAGGCAGCAGUGGGGAAUAUUGCACAAUGGGCGGAAGCCUGAUGCAGCAACGCCGCGUGAGGGAUGACGGCCUUCGGGUUGUAAACCUCUUUUAGCAGGGAAGAAGCGAAAGUGACGGUACCUGCAGAAAAAGCGCCGGCUAACUACGUGCCAGCAGCCGCGGUAAUACGUAGGGCGCAAGCGUUAUCCGGAAUUAUUGGGCGUAAAGAGCUCGUAGGCGGUUUGUCGCGUCUGCUGUGAAAUCCCGAGGCUCAACCUCGGGCCUGCAGUGGGUACGGGCAGACUAGAGUGCGGUAGGGGAGAUUGGAAUUCCUGGUGUAGCGGUGGAAUGCGCAGAUAUCAGGAGGAACACCGAUGGCGAAGGCAGAUCUCUGGGCCGUAACUGACGCUGAGGAGCGAAAGGGUGGGGAGCAAACAGGCUUAGAUACCCUGGUAGUCCACCCCGU